CCUACGGGCGGCAGCAGUGGGGAAUAUUGCACAAUGGGGGAAACCCUGCUGCAGCGACGCCGCUUGAGUUCCUCCUUCCUUCUUUCUUUCCCUCUCUCUCCUCCUUUCCUCACAUGACGGUACCUGAGUAAGAAGCCCCGUCUAACUACGUGCCAGCAGCCGCGGUAAUACGUAGGGUGCCAUCGUUAUCCGUAUUUACUGGGUGUAAAUGGAGCGUAGACGGCAGUGCAAGUCUGGAGUGAAAGGCGGGGGCUCAACCCCCGGACUGCUAGGGAAACGGUACGGCUGGAGUGCAGGAGAGGUAAGUGGAAUUCAUAGUGUAGCGGUGAAAUGCGUAGAUAUUAGGAGGAACACCAGUGGCGAAGGCGGCUUACUGGACUGUAACUGACGUUGAGGCUCGAAAGCGUGGGGAGCAAACAGGAGGAGAGAAAAGAGGAGUC
rnacentral:rRNA from 1 species